UAAGUAUAGGCAAGGUAUUCGGAAUUUAGAAACACCGUUCUUUGUACAGGCGUUCUACAGCCGACUAUUUAAGAUACUGAGAUAGGAGGUUAUAUCUUAUAUAAAACCUCACAUACCAAACGACAAUAAUAUAAUAAAUAAUAGUAGGUAGGUAGGUACAACAUAAUAAUAUUUUAUAGUAAUGAUAUUGCCGCGGCCUGCGAGUGAUGGCGACGACAUACCGCCGCGCGCGCACACAAAUGGUCGUCCCUGCGCUGUGACGUCAUCACAGGCGGCGAUCUAACCGCAUCGGAAUUCCGACACGAAACCUUCGCCGGCGGUGCGUGCGUGCGUUCCACUUGGUGGGGAUCGGUUGGCGGGUGGGUGGAGGAGUAGGCCUGUAACGACGUUAAUGCAUUCGUAUUCCUAUGCGAUGCGUUGCGAUGCGUCGCGUGCGUGCGUGUGGCCAAGGCCCGCGCACCAUUGCGAGUGCGGGCGCGCCGUGUGUGUUGGUCUCUCUACUGUUCACUGUUCAGUACUCUCUUUCUUUUCCACAUUUCCCUCGGACGCGUUCGGUCUGCAGUCACUCGUGUUCCCGUGCCCGAACUCCGAAGCCGCUGCUGCUGCUGCUGCCGCCGCCGCCGCCACCGUCGUUAACUUUCAACUCUCGAGUCUUAAUUUAUUUUUUACUUCUUUUGACUUCUCAAUUAUUUAUUUCACUAAUUCUACUAUUCUGCUCCUCGAUACUCGUCAACAGUCCGGAAUUUUCGAAACCGUUUCCUGUUAGGAGAACGUGUUACUCGUGGUGUUACGUUCACCACGGUGUUUCUCGUUGGCUUUUUCUUAUUUUUUUUUAAACUGUCUGCCACUAGAUUUCAUUUUAUUUCCUAGCCAGUUUUGACCACUCUCGGCCAACGCGUUUACAAAAUUUUUCUAUUUUUUUUUUUUUUGAGGUUUGGCGGCGGCGACCAAGAAACGUGCUUCGUGCGUGCGCGCAUACGAAUGGAACGCGCGCGCGCACGCACCGGAGCGCGGCACGGCGGCGUACGUUGUUCGUGGAACACGUGAGAACGACAACGGAGGCGGCGGCGGCGACGACUACUGCAGCGGUAGCAGCUGAUGACGACAAUGCCGAGUUUCAAUGUCACGUAGGGUGGUGUGGUGUACCCUCCGUCGCCGCUCAACGAUCACGUGUUUGGUGCGUAACACAAUGGUGGUUCGCGCGGUAACUGCGCGUCGUGUUUGCAUUGUCUGCUGCGCGAUCGGCGUUCAAGGUUUUUCAGAGUCCAAGACGUCAUGUUCGUUUCGAUAUCGGCAUUCCCGUGUUCGUUCACUGGUCGUUCCGGGCUGUUUUUUGUUUUCCAUCAUCGUUAUAAUAAUAUAUAAUUUUAUCGUUAGUUUAUGUUUGUAAUUUUUUUUUUUUUCCCGCGGCACAUUGUUUCGAUUUUUUUUUUUCUUGUUAUUGUUUUUGAAUUUUUUUUUUUACCGACCAUGUUACCGAGUCUUAUUUGUAUAUGUUUAGUUUUUUACGCUGUCUUUUGUAUUUUCAGUUACGAUAUACUUUGUUAUUGAG